GACGAACGCUGGCGGCGUGCUUAACACAUGCAAGUCGAACGGAAAGGCCCUGCUUUUGUGGGGUGCUCGAGUGGCGAACGCGUGAGUAACACGUGAGUAACCUGCCCUUGACUUUGGGAUAACUUCAGGAAACUGGGGCUAAUACCGUAUAGGAUCUCCUGCUGCAUGGUGGGGGUUGGAAAGUUUCGGCGGUUGGGGAUGGACUCGCGGCUUAUCAGCUUGUUGGUGGGGUAGUGGCUUACCAAGGCUUUGACGGGUAGCCGGCCUGAGAGGGUGACCGGCCACAUUGGGACUGAGAGACGGCCCAGACUCCUACGGGAGGCAGCAGUGGGGAAUAUUGCACAAUGGGCGGAAGCCUGAGGCAGCAACGCCGCGUGCGGGAUGACGGCCUGCGGGUUGUAAACCGCUUUCGCCUGUGACGAAGCGUGAGUGACGGUAAUGGGUAAAGAAGCACCGGCUAACUACGUG
rnacentral:rRNA from 1 species